rnacentral:rRNA from 1 species
UACGAAGGGGGCUAGCGUUGCUCGGAAUCACUGGGCGUAAAGGGUGCGUAGGCGGGUCUUUAAGUCAGGGGUGAAAUCCUGGAGCUCAACUCCAGAACUGCCUUUGAUACUGGAAAGCUCGAGUCCGGGAGAGGUGAGUGGAACUGCGAGUGUAGAGGUGAAAUUCGUAGAUAUUCGCAAGAACACCAGUGGCGAAGGCGGCAACCUGGCUCGUAACUGACGCUCAUACACGACAGCAUGGGGAGCGAACGGG